rnacentral:rRNA from 1 species
GAUCCUGGCUCAGAAUGAACGCUGGCGGCGUGCCUAAUACAUGCAAGUCGAACGAGGAAUCUUUGUAUUCGUACGGAGAUUUCCUAGUGGCGAACGGGUGAGUAACGCGUUGGUGACCUGCCCCGAAGAGAGGGAUAACAGCUUGAAAGGGCUGCUAAUACCUCAUGUGAUCUCUAGGAUUAGAUGCCUGUUGAUUAAAUGGAUUUAUUCGCUUCGGGAGGGGCCUGCGUCCCAUCAGCUAGUUGGUAGGGUAAUGGCCUACCAAGGCUAUGACGGGUAGGGGACCUGAGAGGGUGACCCCCCACACUGACACUGAAACACGGGUCAGACACCUACGGGUGGCAGCAGUAGGGAAUAUUGGUAAUGGGCGAAAGCCUGAACCAGCAACGCCGCGUGCGCGAUGAAGGCCUUCGGGUUGUAAAGCGCUUUUUGAGGGGAUGAGGAAGGACAGUACCCUCAGAAUAAGCCUCGGCUAACUACGUGCCAGCAGCCGCGGUAAAACGUAGGAGGCUAGCGUUAUUCGGAUUUACUGGGCGUAAAGCGCGUGCAGGCGGUUCGGUAAGUUGGAUGUGAAAGCUCCUGGCUUAACUGGGAGAGGUCGUUCAAUACUGUCGGGCUAGAGGAUGAGAGAGGGAGGUGGAAUUCCGGGUGUAGUGGUGGAAUGCGUAGAUAUCCGGAGGAACACCAGAGGCGUAGGCGGCCUCCUGGCUCAUUUCUGACGCUAAGACGCGAAAGCUAGGGUAGCAAGCGGGAUUAGAGACCCCGGUAGUCCUAGCUGUAAACGAUGUAGACUUGGCGUUAGUGGGGUAAAAUCCAUCAGUGCCGUAGCUAACGCGAUAAGUCUACCGCCUGGGGACUACGAUCGCAAGAUUAAAACUCAAAGGAAUUGACGGGUCCCCGCACAAGCAGCGGAGCGUGUGGUUUAAUUCGAUAUACGCGAAGAACCUUACCAGGGUUUGACAUAUAAGUGGUAGGAAUCCGAAAGGUGACCGACCCUUCGGGGAGCUUAUACAGGUGCUGCAUGGCUGCCGUCAGCUCGUGUCGUGAGAUGUUCGGUUAAGUCCGCUAACGAGCGCAACCCUCGUCGUGUGUUACAAGUGUCACGCGAGACCGCCGGUUACAAGCCGGAGGAAGGUGAGGAUGACGUCAAGUCAGCAUGGCCUUUAUAUCCUGGGCUACACACACGCUACAAUGGCUGGUACAAUUGGUCGCGAAACCGCGAGGUGGAGCCAAUCCUUAAAGCCAGCCUCAGUUCAGAUUGUAGGCUGCAACUCGCCUGCAUGAAGAUGGAGUUGCUAGUAAACGCAGGUCAGCAACACUGCGUUGAAUACGUUCCCGGGGAUUGUACACACCGCCCGUCACGUCAUGGAAGCUGGCAAUACCUGAAGUCGGUAUCCCAACCCGCAAGGGAGGGAGCCGCCGAGGGUAGGGUUGGUAACUGGGAU